rnacentral:lncRNA from 1 species
GGCAUUACAUCCUGCUGGCCUAGAGGUCUUAGUUUCAGAGAGAAGAACACAGCCACCGGGAGACACAAUGAUUCCAUUAAACUGGAACUGAAGAUUGCCACCUGGACACUUUGGGCUUCUCCUACCUUUAAGUCAACAGGCUAAGAAGGGAGUUACAGUACUGGCUGGGGUGACUAACCUAGAUUAUCAAGAUGAAAUCAGUCUACUACUCCACAAUGGAGAGAAACCUCAGGAGGCCCAAAGUUUCUAUCUGUUCGAAGAAGAAUCUGGAAAUGGCUCUGGAUGCCCCAUCCAUAUCAAUUUUGCAGACCCGUCUGGAGCUCUGUUGCAGUGGAAGAAGCUGCAUAGGAGAAAGGAUGAAUGAGAGGGCUGAACACAAGAACACAGAAGGGACUGAAGCCUCCACUUUUCCCCACCUCUGCCUAUUGCCACAGUAUCUGGAUUAAAACUCUAUGCAUUG